rnacentral:rRNA from 1 species
AUGGUUUUUUUGUUGGGCUGUUGCUGCCUCCAAUCUUUUGCCCGGCAAACAAAUGCUCAAUAUUUAUUUGUUUUCUCCUUCCUACGAGUGCUUCGUCCUUGUAUCUGUUGGUGGAAUACAAUGUUCUUUAUUCUCCAUGUUUUGGUUAAUAUCAAUUUCCAUGCUUCAUGUUUGUUUACCUUUAUCAUUUUUGCACUGUCUUGUAUUAAAACAGGAUUCUUUACUCAAAUCCUGCUAAUAACUAAAGCCUUUCAAGGAUGUUGCUUCAAUAUGGAAAGAUGUUCCCCUGCAAGUUUUUUGAUUGUUACAACAAAGACUACUUUUUGA